UAGUGAUUGUCUGCAAUCAGAUUUGAACUCUUUUUGGAACUCCAUCCACUGAGCCAUCUAGUGACCACACCCACCCACAGCCACCAAACACGUGGACACAUGGUUUAUGGGUGUGUACCAGUAUGACCUACACGUGAUUGCAGGAAGAUAGGUGCGGAUGUAUUCGGCAUUGUCCAAGUCACUGAAUCCAUCACUCUCUCGCCAUGCCCUGUUAGCUGGUGUUGGUCUCCUUUUAGGGAGUCAGAGAAAGUGUUCUAUCUUGAAAAGCUCCUGCUGUGUUAAGAAAAAAUGAACAUGACAGAGAUUGUCAUUUAGGUUUCAAAGGGCUCUGAUAAACUUUGAAUCUUUUUUUUUUUUUCCCUGUGAAAUUCAAAACAUGUGUGGCUAGCCACUGCUUGGACAGCUCCUACCAGUCUCCCAUCCAGGAUCCUGGAGCACAAACCCUCAGCCAUUUGGAGAAAUUAAAAGCUUCUAUGCUCACAAUACUCCUGGACAAAAGGAACUGAUACAGGAUAAAAUAAGCAGAACCAGGAAAAAUUGUACAAUGAUUAAAUGUGGAAACUUGCUUUUUCUCAACAAUGCAAUGAUCUGGGACAAUCCUGAAAGAACUGUUAGAGUUGGAUGAAUGUGGAUCAAACCAUACUAUUAUUCACAUCAGUGUACUUAUGGUUAUAUUUUGGAAUUUUUCUUCUGUCUUAGUGUGAUUUUACAACAAUGAGCAAUAUUGAAAUAUGCUUUGCAUGAUA